UACGUAGGGUGCGAGCGUUGUCCGGAAUUAUUGGGCGUAGAGAGCUCGUAGGCGGUCUGUCGCGUCGAUCGUGAAAACUUGGGGCUUAACCCUGAGCUUGCGGUCGAUACGGGCAUGACUGGAGUUCGGCAGGGGAGACUGGAAUUCCUGGUGUAGCGGUGAAAUGCGUAGAUAUCUGGAGGAACACCGGUGGCGAAGGCGGCAUCCUGGACCGGUAUUGACACUGAGGCGCGAAAGCCAGGGGAGCAAACGGG
rnacentral:rRNA from 1 species